rnacentral:rRNA from 1 species
GAUGAACGCUGACAGAAUGCUUAACACAUGCAAGUCUACUUGAUUUAUGGUUUCGGCCGUAAUGAUGGUGGCGGACGGGUGAGUAACGCGUAAAGAAUCUGCCCUUUAGACUGGGAUAACAGUUGGAAACGACUGCUACUACCGGAUAUAAUGGAACCAUCGCAUGAUGGAAUCAUGAAAGCUAUAUGCGCGAGAGGAGGACUUUGCGGCCCAUUAGCUAGUUGGUGAGGUAACGGCUCACCAAGGCGACGAUGGGUAGCCGGCCUGAGAGGGUGAUCGGCCACAAGGGAACUGAGACACGGUCCUUACUCCUACGGGAGGCAGCAGUGGGGAAUAUUGGACAAUGGGCCACAAGCCUGAUCCAGCAAUUCUGUGUGCACGAUGAAGGUCUUCGGAUUGUAAAGUGCUUUCAGUAGGGAAGAAUAAAUGACGGUACCUACAGAAGAAGCGACGGCUAAAUAUGUGCCAGCCGCCGCCGUAAAAC